rnacentral:lncRNA from 1 species
GUUAAGUAGCCCAGGCUGGCUUCACACUUGCAAUCCUCCUGUCUCAUCCUUCUGAGUAGUUAGGAUUACGGUGUUAGGUGUUGUCAGGGAAACAACAGAACAGCCACAAAAGGAGUCACAAUCCAAAACCACAGUGAAGGAGUCACAUUAUCACGAACCCAGUGCUAUAGGGGUCCAGAGGAAUAGCACUGACAUCUGAAAGGCAGCUACAGUUCAGGGGAUGCCUGUGGUGCUCUUUAUGUUAUCAAGCAGGAGGAAGCUGGAAUCCUGGCUGCCGAAGAGAGAACACUCCAACAAGGCCCUCCUUCAGACUGGGGCUGCAUCUGCACACCAGCAUCCAGAGCAAGAGAGGAGCAACUGGAUGGCUAGAAAACCAGGGAGGGUGCUAACAAACAGGCUGCCAACAUCGCACUUCUUUGCUCAGUGCUUCUUUCUGCACUGCACCUGCACUGCCUCCUUCCAGCACUUGGUCUUUUGCUAUCACCAUAGGCCCCCCACCCCAGAGACCAGGAGCUGGGAACAGCACCCCAUGGGGCAAUGGAGGCUUCACCACUUCCAGCUGGGAGCAUGGGAGCAGCAGACACCUGCAGCUGAAUCUGUCAUAUCCAUUCCCUCCUCCUUCCUUGUUAAUCUUAUACCACGGAUGGGGACAAUAUGCCAGCAUAAAAAUGAUAUUUCCCAGCUUCCCUCACAGAGAAGCAUGGCCACUCAGAUGUGCAGCGAAGUUAUGGAGGGAGAAACUCUUUCAAAGGUUAUGGAUAUACAUAUGAUGAGUGGAGCUCUACAAGCUCUCUUGAAGUAUGAGACAAGUUUGAGAACAGAAGCCAAGCAUUAAGCAAGGUAAAGCAGAAAAAGUGGAAGAGUCUGGGCCUAUUAUAACCAUGGAGCCAAUCUUGAGCUGCCAUAAGAAAGAAAUAAACAAGUGUGUUGCUUAAGCCAAUGUUAU